GCAGGCAUGGUGUAAUGGUAACACUUGUGCUUCCCAAGCAUACGACGCGGGUUCGAUUCCCGUUGCCUGCUCCA
rnacentral:tRNA from 1 species